GAAGAAGACGGGAAAAGGUCACAGCAGGGGUAGAGUACGGAGAUAAGAGCUGUUUGUUUCUUUUCCCAUUUAUCUCCAUUGAGAUGCAUUCAUCUCUACACUUAAGGAGAAAAGGCCCUGCCCUUUGACCCGCUCUCUGUGAGUAUGAAGCAUAAACAAGUCCCACUCUCGGGUCCUGAAUCAGCCCGGCCUGUUUGCUCAGGGUGUUUGCUUAGGACUGCGGUUUGGAUUUGAGUGUUAGCUGUGCACAGGUAGCUCUAGAAAAAAUAAAAUCAAUGCAACAAUUUCAGAUUAAUGUCAACAUGACGGCAGCUCGCCACAGUAACACAAUAUUUAUCACCCUGCAAUUACACCAGAUGAUCGUCCCUCGAUGUAGGAAGAACAAACAUGAUGUGACUUCCUCUUCAGUGACAGAAGGAUUUAUUCUCCACAUUAUAUUCUCACAAUGAAGUGUCCUUUCUGCCCGACAGAUAGUUUAAUCGCUGACUGCUUUAUAGACCGAACCUUCAUCUCCAGCCUGCAGGGAUAUAAUGACAAGUGUGGACCACCCAUGUCUGCCUUGGCCUCAAUGUUAUUUAAGGAAUUCCCCCGGCUUCAAGUCCUGAAGACAAAAUGAAGCUCCGGUCAAAGGAGAAGCUCGGAUGUGCAGACUUCAGGUGGAGCAGCUUUUUCUCCAGAAGUCAGGAGAUCAACUACACAGAGUACCUUUUGCAGCAGCCUGAUGACAAACCCAUUUCCUGGCUCGGCUCGUUUCCAGGGGUACAAACUGCUGUCCAUGUGUUUCUUUCUGCAGCGUCAAAGCCAUACAUGUGUUUCCAACUUGUUGAGCAUCCUGGCACGUCAAACUUCAUACCUCCUGUGUGACAUCUGAAAGAGGACGAGUGCAGAUACAGUUUCAGUCCCAGCUCUACAGUUGUGUGUAGGACUGAAAGUGUCUGGAAAUGAAAGGGAGGAAAAUUCCUCACAUUUUACCCUAUUAUAUUUUCUGCUCAGGGAUCCAAAGUGAAAACCACUUCAACUUAUGAAAGAUUCCCCCUGCUGAAGAGCUAAAUGGUGCUCCAGAAGCUCUUCAUGCAUUUGAUGGAAAUCUUUGAAAAAUUCAGAGUGGCCUGUGAAUUGAUUGGAAAAUGUAUCAUCACUCAGAGUGCCUAAAGGCUCCUGUUGAUGGCAGACUUGUGAGUCAGACUCGUCUGUCGUGACACAUGCUGACAACGCUUCUUGUUUUCUGCAGCCGCUGUCUUGCCUCGGGCUUCAGUGAGGAAACUCUCCGAAACACACAUACUCACAAACACGCACACACACCCCACACAUCUCUGAACUGUUGCUCAACACAGCUGUGGGUAAACAGGCUGUGUUUAGAUGCCCUUGUCUCAACUUGUACACACACACACAUGCACACACACACACACAAUAAUUCUAGGACACAUACACAGAAAUGCUACAAACCCUGCUGAGUGGGCGUAUUUGCAGCGCCACACCAAACACUCUUGCCAUGACUUGUUACAGUGAAGGAAAUUGCACAGUUGCACUAAAGUACAACAUAAUAAAAUAAUGCACAUCUGCAUUCUGCAGCUCAGAGAUGUACAACAGCAUGUAAGUGUGGUAAGUAAUUGAUAUAAUUGUUGCUUUGUAUUAAUAACAUCUGGUCAAAAGGCUUUAGCUGGCAUUAAAAGAAAACUUGAACACAAGACCGUGGAGAGAUUCUCUGUUUGGUUCUAGUUGAUUUUUGUGCAGUUUGAUGCAUAACAUUGACCAAAAAGAUAAAUCUUAUUACUGAUAUCCAUGACUUUUAUCACGUUAUUUGAAAAAUAGACUUAAUGCCAACGACAAACAUU